rnacentral:pre_miRNA from 1 species
GCCCUCUCGAUACGCUCCCUCAUCCACAGAAAUUCGUUCUCAUCACGAUUCGAAGUGAUGAUAAUGAAUUCUUUGGAUGAGAGCUCUUGAGUCUGC